GUUCAUCAUAUUCUCUCUUAGUUUACAAUAAUUUCUUGUUUUGGUGAAACUUCAGAAACAUAAUUACAGAUGUGCAUGGGCUCUCAAUACAAAAACAGGCUACCUUGUGCUUCAAGGAUCCUGCAGACUGAAGGAGUAUAUUUCCCUUCACUCUUGUUAUAUCUCUCCUUGAGAAAUAUAAUAAGAUCCAUCAUCACAUGAUCGGCUAGAUACAUGUUGUUCUUGAGGGUAAGGCCAAAUGAUCUUUCACUGUAAGAUAGUUACAACAGUCCUCUUGAUUGUGCUGUUCUGACCGUUAAAAACAAGGGGUGAGAAACUCUCGUUCCUAAAAUGUUCUACUUAGAGUUGAACAUACAGGUUGUUGGAGAUGCUGUCUUUUUACCGUGUUGGAGAUGCUGUCUUUUUACCGUGGAGGGUUCUAAUCCGAAAGGUUUAGGAGAUAGCUUUGAUUGCAACCAUUAUGGAGAAACAACAUAGAGAGACACAUAAGAGUACAAGGAGAUAAACAAAGAGACUG